rnacentral:misc_RNA from 1 species
CAGCAGUUGAGCAGUUAUGCCAGUAAUGACAGCAGAAUAAAUAGUCUUCACCACUGUGAUGGAGUUAUCAUGUUCUUCAACAAAAUUCUUUUCUUUUUAGCUUUGUUUGAAGUCAUCAUUUAGUUUCAUAUUUCAUUACUGGCAUAACUGCUCAACUGCUGGUUGUCCAUCAGGUUGAGGCUUUUCAAUUCUUGUUGUCUUCACAGCAAGCUAAUAUUUUGCUGUGAUUUGCGGGUG